rnacentral:rRNA from 1 species
UACGUAGGGUGCAAGCGUUGUCCGGAAUUAUUGGGCGUAAAGAGCUCGUAGGCGGUUCGUCACGUCGGCUGUGAAAUCCCGAGGCUCAACCUCGGGUCUGCAGUCGAUACGGGCGGACUGGAGUACUGCAGGGGAGACUGGAAUUCCUGGUGUAGCGGUGAAAAUGCGCAGAUAUCAGGAGGAACACCGGUGGCGAAGGCGGGUCUCUGGGCAGUAACUGACGCUGAGGAGCGAAAGCGUGGGGGAGCGAACAGG